rnacentral:rRNA from 1 species
CGUGUAGGCGGUUGGGUAAGUCAGAUGUGAAAGCCUUCUGCUUAACAGAAGAAGUGCAUUUGAAACUGCUCGGCUAGAGUACGGGAGAGGAGGGUGGAAUUCCCGGUGUAGAGGUGAAAUUCGUAGAUAUCGGGAGGAACACCAGUGGCGAAGGCGGCUCUCUGGUCCGAUACUGACGCUGAGACGCGAAAGCGUGGGGAGCAAACAGGAUUAGAUACCCUGGUAGUCCACGCCGUAAACGAUGGGCACUAGGUGUAGGAGGUAUUGACCCCUUCUGUGCCGAAGCUAACGCAUUAAGUGCCCCGCCUGGGGAGUACGGCCGCAAGGCUAAA